rnacentral:misc_RNA from 1 species
GUGAUGGUUUCAAUCAUUACAUCUGUUUCCCGCCAUUUUGAACUGCGAGGUGUUUGGCGGGACUGUUGGCAUAAUCAAAGGCGCAAAGUGGCAUAUUUACAUGGAUUUGUGUCACAAUUCUGUAGCAGUAUACAUCUGAAAUGCAUAUAAAACAGCUUAUAAUACAAGGUUUCCGGAGCUACAAAGAGCAAACCUGUGUGGAGCCAUUCAGCCCCCGUCAUAAUGUGAUAGUUGGCCGAAAUGGAUCAGGAAAAAGCAAUUUCUUUUACGCCAUCCAAUUCGUGCUGAGCGAUGAGUUCUCCCAUCUGCGCCCCGAGCAGCGGCAAGCACUCCUGCAUGAGGGAACUGGACCACGUGUGCUCAAUGCCUUUGUUGAAAUCAUCUUCGACAACAGUGACAACCGCCUGCCAGUUGACAAGGAAGAGGUGUCACUAAGGCGUGUGAUUGGCUCCAAGAAAGACCAGUAUUUCCUGAACAAGAAGAUGGUUACAAGGACGGAUGUCAUGAACCUUUUGGAGAGCGCCGGUUUCUCGAGGAGCAAUCCCUACUACAUAGUAAAGCAGGGCAAGAUCAACCAGAUGGCCACAGCGCCAGAUUCACAACGGCUGAAGCUGCUGCGAGAGGUGGCAGGCACACGGGUGUACGAUGAGCGGCGCGAAGAGAGUAAGGUGCUGCUGCGUGACACUGAGGGCAAGCGCUCCAAGAUUGAGGAUCUGCUCAAGUACAUUGAGGAUCGGCUGCAGACGCUUGAGGAGGAGAAGGAGGAGCUCAAGGAGUACCAGAAAUGGGACAAGAUGCGCAGGUCUCUGGAGUACACCAUUUAUGACCAUGAACUGAAGGAUACCAAAAAGAAGCUGGAAGAACUGGAAACACGGCGAGAGUCCAGCAGUUCAGUGGCUGAGAAAUUGCGUGAGAACCUGCAGAAUGCGGCCGAAAAAAUAAAGAAGCUGAGCAAGGAGCUGCGCGAGGUGAAGAGUCGUGCGCAGGCCCAGCGGGAGGAGCGGGAGGCCCUGUCGCAGGAGCAGUCAUCGGCACUCAAGGAGAAGACCCGCCUUGAGCUGACCAUAAAGGACCUGCGUGAUGAGGUUGAGGGGGACGACUCAUCACGCAAGCGUGCUGAGCGGGAGCUAGCCCGCCUACAGGAGACAGUGGCCCAGAAGAUGGCCCUGCUGGACGGCAUUCGUCCCCAGUACGAGGCACAGAAAAAGCGUGAGGAGGAAUGCACUCGCGAGCUGAGCCUGAAGGAACAGAAGCGCACCGAGCUGUAUGCCAAGCAAGGCCGUGGCAGCCAGUUUACAUCCAAGGCUGAACGGGACAAGUGGAUCCAGAAGGAACUCAAGUCUCUGCAGAAAGCCAUUCGGGACAAGCGGGACCAGAUAGACAAGCUCCAAGAGGACACACAACGAGAUGCAAAAAACAAGGUGGUCUUGGAAAGGAAAAUUGAAGAGCUUACCCGAGAGCUGGAAAAUCAUCGUGUGAGCAUCGACAGUCAAAACAAAAGUUUCUAUGAGAUGAAAAAACGGAAAGACACGCUUCAAGGCGAGAGAAAUGAACUCUGGAGACAUGAGAAUGCCUUGCAGCAGAACCUGGCAACGCUGAAAGAGGAGCUGUCCAAAAAGGACCAGGGCCUGCGUUCGAUGACUGGCAAGGCAACCUUGAAUGGCCGAGACAGUGUACGAAAAGUUCUGCAAACUUUUCGGGAGAAAGGUGGCAGUUAUGAGCACAUAGCCAACAGCUACUAUGGAAUGCUAAUCGAAAACUUUGAUUGUGAGAAGACCAUCUAUACUGCCGUGGAAGUGACUUCUGGAAACAAGUUGUUUUACCACAUAGUGGAGAGUGAUCGCAUCGGCACAAAGAUACUGCAGGAGAUGAAUCGUCAGCAGCUGCCAGGCGAAGUCACCUUCAUGCCUCUGAACCGGCUCAUGUACAAGGAUGUUGACUACCCGAAUAGCAAUGAUGCCAUUCCUAUGAUCAGCAAACUCAACUUUGACCCAAAGUUUGAGAGUGCUAUGAAAUACAUAUAUGGCAAGACUCUAAUAUGCCGCAACCUGGAAGUGGCCACUCAAAUUGCACGCACAUCAAACCUGGAUUGCAUCACUUUGGACGGGGACCAAGUGUCGCACAAGGGUGCCCUAACGGGAGGCUACUUUGACACUCGACGGUCACGGCUGGAUCUGCACAAGGCACACAUGCAGCUCAUGAAGGAGAUUACUGAAGUGGAGAAGCAGCUUGCGGAGCACAAGCAGAAACUGGCUGAUACUGAAAGCCAGAUCAACCAAGUGGUCAGUGACAUGCAGAAAGCUGAGACAAAGAACAGCAAAAACAAGGAUGUGUUUGACAAACUGAAGGCAGACAUUCGUCUCAUGAAAGAAGAACUCACAGCUCUGGAACGCUCUAAACAGCCAAAGGAGCGCAGCCUGGCUAGCCUCGACUCGAGCCUGAAGUCAAUGGAGUCAACCGAGCAGUCCCUGCGUUCAGAGCUGCAGCAAGACCUCCUGACACAGCUUUCAGUUGCUGACCAGCAGGAGGUAGACCGGCUCAACGAUGAAAUUCGCCGUCUCACCCAGGAAAACAAGGAGGCCUUCAGUGAGCGCAUGCGGCUUGAGGCAGAGAAAAACAAGCUGGAGAACCUGCUCAACAACAAUUUAUAUCGGAGGAAAGAAGAAUUGGAAGCCGCAUUGCAGGAAAUUUCAGUCGAAGACAGGCGGCGCAAACUGGAGAACAGCCAAGCAGAGUUGGCCAGUGUGAAUGCACGCAUCAGUGAUGUCAACACUAACUUAAAAGCACUGGAAAAGCAGGUUGAAGCAAAUACCAAGGAACAGAAGGACCUCCAGUCACAGCUAGAGCACUGGAAGAGCCAAGAGCGUGACUGGCAAGAGCGGAUCAAUGAUGAUGCCAAAGACCUUGAGAAAAUGACGAGCCGCCAGUCUGUUCUGUUGAAGAAGAAAGAAGAGUGCAUGCGUAAGAUUCGAGAACUCGGUUCAUUGCCUGCAGAUGCAUUUGAGAAGUAUCAGAAUCUAAGCCUAAAACAGUUGUUCAAGAAGCUUGAGCAAUGUAAUCAUGAGCUCAAGAAAUACAGCCACGUCAACAAGAAAGCCUUGGACCAGUUCAUCAAUUUUUCGGACCAGAAGGAAAAGCUGGCAAAGCGCAAGGAAGAGCUUGACCGUGGACACAGUUCCAUCCAGGAGCUGAUGAACGCUCUGGAGAUGCGCAAGUAUGAAGCCAUCCAGCUGACGUUCAAGCAAGUGUCCAAGUUCUUCAGUGAAGUGUUUAAGAAGCUUGUACCCCAAGGACAUGCCACACUCAUGAUGAAGACUGACAAUGAGGAUGGCACUGCUCAGAUCAAAACUCAACAUGACAUACGUGGUUGACGGAUCAUCUCCUGCCGGAACAGUGCACGGUCGCUUCUUCUAUCCCUGUAAAUGGCUCAGCUGCAAGCAGAGACAGCAACAUGAAUUAUGAAAGUGCUGAGGGAGAGGAAGUCACUGCUGCAUCUAAUGAGCCCGGGAGCGAUAGCCAGACAAAGGUGCUCCUAGGUUACCUUGCAAGGUACACACCCCAAGUCUGGCCCCUGAAGCACUUCAAGACAAAGAAAUUCAUGUACGAGCAAAUUGUUCAAGAUAUCUUCCAAGUGUUAAAUAUACAGCACAUUGGAGUGCAGUGUGAGACUACAUUGUUGACUGUGGCAAAAAGAAAGAGGAACGAUGACAAAAACAGCAAAAUAUCUGGCAGUGUGUGUUUCUCACUUCCUAUUGCCAACAGCUUCAAGUCAGAGGUGCUUAGAGGUGUGUCAAAAGUGACUUGCAAGAACUGUGCUGCACCCUUUGGCACACCUUCAUUCACUGGAAGAGAAAGCAUCUAUGUGACAGCCACCCAAGCCACAACAAGGGAGUCAACUGAGGGUCCACAGGAGCAUUCAUGGGAAAUGGAGGGCAAUGCAUCCUUCAUGAGGCCCCAGGAGGAAGAAAUGUGCAGAACACUGAUCGUAGGAGGCACACAACUAUCAUUGUUUAAAACGUGCGGAC